rnacentral:rRNA from 1 species
UGGGGAAUUUUGGACAAUGGGCGCAAGCCUGAUGCAGCCAUGCCGCGUGUGUGAAGAAGGCCUUCGGGUUGUAAAGCACUUUCAGCGAGGAGGAAGGUGGUGAGCUUAAUACGCUCAUCAAUUGACGUUACUCGCAGAAGAAGCACCGGCUAACUCCGUGCCAGCAGCCGCGGUAAUACGGAGGGUGCAAGCGUUAAUCGGAAUUACUGGGCGUAAAGCGCACGCAGGCGGUUUGUUAAGUCAGAUGUGAAAUCCCCGGGCUCAACCUGGGAACUGCAUUUGAAACUGGCAAGCUAGAGUCUCGUAGAGGGGGGUAGAAUUCCAGGUGUAGCGGUGAAAUGCGUAGAGAUCUGGAGGAAUACCGGUGGCGAAGGCGGCCCCCUGGACGAAGACUGACGCUCAGGUGCGGAAGCGUGGGGCAGCAAACAGGAUUAGAUACCCUGGUAGUCCACGCUGUAAAACGAUGUCGAUUUGGAGGUUGUGCCCUUGAGGCGUGGCUUCCGGAGCUAACGCGUUAAAUCGACCGCCUGGGGAGUACGGCCCGCAAGAUUAAAAACUCAAAUGAAA